rnacentral:rRNA from 1 species
AUUGAACGCUAGCGGGAUGCUUUACACAUGCAAGUCGAACGGCAGCGCGGACUUCGGUCUGGCGGCGAGUGGCGAACGGGUGAGUAAUGUAUCGGAACGUGCCCAGUAGCGGGGGAUAACUACGCGAAAGCGUAGCUAAUACCGCAUACGCCCUACGGGGGAAAGCAGGGGAUCGUAAGACCUUGCACUAUUGGAGCGGCCGAUAUCGGAUUAGCUAGUUGGUGAGGUAACGGCUCACCAAGGCGACGAUCCGUAGCUGGUUUGAGAGGACGACCAGCCACACUGGGACUGAGACACGGCCCAGACUCCUACGGGAGGCAGCAGUGGGGAAUUUUGGACAAUGGGGGCAAGCCUGAUCCAGCCAUCCCGCGUGUGCGAUGAAGGCCUUCGGGUUGUAAAGCACUUUUGGCAGGAAAGAAACGUCGCGGGCUAAUACCCCGUGGAACUGACGGUACCUGCAGAAUAAGCACCGGCUAACUACGUG